rnacentral:rRNA from 1 species
UACAGAGGUCCCGAGCGUCGUUCGGAUUCACUGGGCGUAAAGGGUGCGUAGGUGGCAUGGUAAGUUUGAUGUGAAAGCUCAGGGCUCAACCCUGAAAUGGCAUUGAAUACUACUGUGCUGGAGGUUUGGAGGGGGGACUGGAAUUCUUGGUGUAGCAGUGAAAUGCGUAGAUAUCAAGAGGAACACCAGUGGCGAAGGCGAGUCCCUGGACAACACCUGACACUGAGGCACGAAAGCUAGGGGAGCAAACAGG